rnacentral:tRNA from 1 species
GGAAAUGUGCCUGAAUACCCAAGGGCCACUGUGAUAAAGUGGACAUAGGGGUAGACUAGUCCCCUCAUUUCCA